GGGAAAGCUAGACCUGCAGAGUGAAGAAAGCUUGUAAUAGAUGUCUGACUAAAGAAAGACUUGUGUUACUGUCUGCACACUGGAAAUUCUUCCUGGUUGUGAGACAAGACCUCAGACUUAUCUGAGCUAAGGGGAAGAAAGACUGCAACAGUGUUGGGCCUGUGGGUACACAGAAGUCAAGAAUUGAAGAUUGGAAACCUCCACCUAGAUUUCAGAGGACAUAUGGAAAUGCCUGGAUAUCUAGGCAGAAGUCUGCUACAGGGGCAGAGCCCUCAUGGAGAACCUCUACUAGGGCAGUGUGGAAAGAAAAGGUGGGGUUGGAGACUCCACACAGAGUCCCCACUGGCACACUGCCUGGUGGAGCUGUCAGAACAGGGCCACCAUUCUCCAGACCUCAGAAUGGUAGAUCAAAUGACAACUUGCACCAUGCACCAGGAAAAGCCACAAGCUCUCAAUAUCAGCCUGUGAAGGAGCUGCCUAAGGCCAUGGGAACCCACCUCUCCCAUCAGCAUGCCCCCGAUAUGAGACAUGGCGCCAAAGGAGAUUAUUUCAGAGAUUUAAGAUUUAAUGACUGCCCCACUGGAUUUUGGACUUGUGCAGGGCCUAUAGCCCCUUUGUUUUGGCCAAUUUCUCUCAUUUGGAAUGGGAGCAUUUACCCAAUGCCUGUAUCCCCAUUGUAUCUAGGAAGGAACUAACUUGUUUUUGAUUUUACAUGCUUAUAGGCAGAAGGGACUUGCCUUUUCUCAGAUGAGACUUCGGAUUAUGGACUUUGAGUUAAUGCUGAAAUCAUUUAAAAUUUUGGGGGACUGUUGGGUAGGCAUGAUUGGUUGGGAAAUGUAAAAAGACAUGAGAUUUGGAUGGGCUGGGGCAGAAUGAUAGGGUUUGGCUCUGUGUCCCCGCCCAAACCUUAUCUCGAAUUGUAAUUCUUAUGUGUUGAGGGAGGGAACUAUAAUCUCCACAUGUUGAGAGAGGGAGGUGAUUGGAUCAUGGGGGCAGUUUCCCCCAUGCUGUUCUCAUGAUAGUGAGUGAGUUCUCAUGAGAUCUGAUGGUUUUAAAGAUGUUUUGAAGUUCCUCCUUUUCUUUCUCUUGCUGCACUGUGAAGAAGGUGCUUGUUUCCCCUUUGCCUUAUGCCAUCAUUGUAAGUUUCCUGAGGCCUCCCUAGCUACGUGGAACUGUAGUCAAACUUAUUUCCUUUAUAAAUG
rnacentral:sRNA from 1 species